UCAGUGCGGCUUGUCCUGUGCAGCCGGGCUGGUCCUCAGGAAAUUGAUGCUUCCCAUCACUCGCCUGUCUUCUUGGAACAACUUCAGGGUUUAUUGAAUCUGGAAAGAAAGAAGAGCAAAAAAAGGGAACCAUGUACAUCGCACAAAUCAGUUGUUCUGACAGUUUUAUUAAAUAAUGGGGCGGUUCAAUCAUGUUGUGAAACAAGGCUCUGGGGAGGAGGCAAGAGGCAGGAUCUGGGGCUGGAAUUUCUGGAAGAAGUCUAGCAUCUUCCGGAAUUGAUCGAGCCUCCUUCAUACUGUGGAAGAUGUGGGUUCAGACCCAGGCUUUCCACCAGCAGCGGGGUGGCUGGGAGCCUCGCCCUCCCUGCUCCCACCUGCUUGCUUCCCAGAGGGUCAGGUGCUGGUGCUCCAGGCCUGCUUGCUGUGGGAGGGAGUCGCUGAGGAGAGCCAGGGAGCCAUGAGAAUUCCCUCUUCAGGGCCUUUUCUAGGAGGGCAAGAGGAGGCCGAGGCCCUGAGAGAGCCAAUAUGGGGUCUGGGCCCUCGGCUGGGAGGGUGGAGGCGGUGGAGGAGACACGUCUAUUUGACUCCACCUGCCGGGAGCUGGGUGGCUUGUGCUAGGAGACCCUGGCAAGCCCCCCAGCCCCUGCACCGCCCUCCCCACCCGGCCCAAGCUCCUGGCCUUCAGCAUCCAGAGCUCCCAAUGAACUUCCCAGGUCUCCCCAGGAUUCCCAAGGAACCUUCAUGCAAGAUGCAGUGGACUCAGAUAGAGAGGGCCCAGCCAGGCACGCCCUGAGGCCUCUUCCUGGGGCUUCCACAGGUCUCCUGCAGCUGCUGGACACUGAGGGACGCUGGCCACUGUGGGCAGUACAGCAUGGUGCUUGGCAGGCGGGGCCUGGAGCCUGCCGGGUCUCUCCUCCUCCAGCCUCGGCUGCCGUCCACAGAAUGGGAAAUACCUGUGACUUCCUGGGACAGGAUGGGAUGUGGUGGCUGCGUGGAUGUGCACCAUGAGCUUCCGGGCCACCCUGCUCGGCGCUGACCAGUCCUUACCAGGUGGGUGUCACUUGCUUUACAGCGGGGCUCAGAGGCCACACCGAGGGGCAGCAGUGCCGUUGGCUCUGGGAAGAGGUCCCACCCAGGCAGGGGUCUGGCCCCUCUCCUCCCAGGCCCUUGCCCUGCCUGCUACGGGCUGACUUUCAACAUCUUUCUCUGGGCUCAGCUGCUCGAGGCUGCUACUCAGGGGCUGGGCCUGUUCCAUGAGCCCGGCAGCCCUGUCUCCCUCUGUCUCUCAGGCUCUGCCACCCUGGCCUUUCCACCUGCUCCUGGCUGCCAGCUCUCCGACACCUUCAUCCUUGGGUUUGGCUUUGGACCCUGACUGGGUCAGCAGCCUGGGUUAGGAGGCCUUCCAUUGCCCUCCAGGGACUCCUGGGGCACCCGCCAUGUGCUGGGGCUCUGAGGGCGCUGGGGAGCCGAGGGCAUGCAGUGGGGGGUUGGGCCCAGGUAUGGGAGCUGAGGGCAGCACGGCCAUGGGAGGGGACCUGGGGGAUCUCUGGAUAUCAGGGCAGUGUCUUUGCACUGAGGGAUGGCACUCCUGGAGGUUCACUGCUGGUUCCAGAGCACAGAGGUGUGACUCCUGGAGGGUGGCCAGCCCUGCGGGGGGUCAGAAGAUGAUGGGGACAGUGCGGGGCGAGGCAGAGGCUCUCAGGUCCCCUACCGGACUUCAGGACGAAUCACGUGAACCCGCCAGCAUUUCACAGUUUUGACCUACAGAGCCAGCAAUGUCACAUCGCCGACCCCAAACACCUCAAGGGUGUCACCACCAGGCUGGGCUUGGGCUGCAUCCCGUGGUGCCCAGGAGUGUGAGUUUCCACCCUGCAGAUGCUGUGCCAGCUGGGCAGGGUGAGGACGAACUAGAGAAGCAGGGGCAGAGCAGGGCCCGGCCCCAAGCCCUGGACGCCCUCGCAGGUGGGACAGGGUCAGCGUAGCUCUGCAGGGCAGGUGGCCCUGGAUGGAGCUCCAGCCCUGCCCUCGUUAGCGGGGUGCCCUCAUGGGAGUGGCCUUGCCUCUGGGUGCCUUGUCUUUUGAGGGGGCAUAAGAGUCUCAUCUGCCUCCUGAGCUCUGCUGAGGAGGAGGAGCCGAGCUGUUUCGUGCGGGCGCUGGCAGGGCCUGGCGUGUGUGCAGCAGGCAUCUUUGCUCCAGGCAGGGCGCGGGGCAACGGGAAUGCGGUGACCCCAGGCUUCUGAGUUGGGAUCAGACGAAAACCUUAGGGGGCUGGUGCCGGGAUGGACCUCAAAGCAGGGGGUGGGGUGGGGGUCAGGGAGCCCUGGAGGGUGGGAGGCCAAGGGAACACCUGACCAGGCACCAAGGCCCCUGCCCUUGGGGACAGCUGGGGAGAGGGUGGAGCGACCCCGGCGUCGAGUGUGGAUAAAGCUGUCAUCCAUCUACCCCAGUCCUGCUUCUGAGGGGCCCCCUCUCCUUCCCCACACUGGUCAGGCCAUGAGCAAGGAGGGGCACCCCACAGGGAAGAGGGGGCCUCUUGCCCGGCGGCUGGGCUGACCUCCAACCUCUGACCCCUGACGGGCUGGAGCACCCCACAUGAACAAGGCACCUGUGCAGCAGAGACCUGAAAAAGAAGCAAAAGAAACCCUCGGGGAGAAGCAGUGCCCCUCCCGUGCGGCUCCUGCCCCUGGCAGGCCUUCUUUCUCCAAAUAGACCAAACAUGCCCUCCUGUCCAUCAUCCUCCCCGUCAUGGCCCUGGCUGCACCUCCGGAUGGAUCCAGCCCAAGCCCCGUCACACAGCAGUGGCCCGGUCCCCCUUGGAAUGGCGAGCCUGACCCUCCACCGCCAACCUCCUCUGACCUUCCGAGGCCCCUCUGACGCUCACACUGCUGAACUUCACAAGAACUUGGAGCAUCCCUUUCAAAUGGAAGGGCCGGAUCCUGCAGAUUAGGAGACUGAGUCCCAAAGAGGGGCAGUCGCUUGCCCAAGGCCAUGUGGCUGUUAGUGUUGGAGUCAGAAUUUGAAGCCAGGGAGGCUGAUCUUGGAACACCUGCUGUCAACAGAAACUUCUGACAAAAUACAGAGGACUGCCAUGCCUUCCGGGGUGUUCUCCCAGAGAUGCCCCUUCUGCUAUCCUGCCUGUGCUGCUGCCCUGAUCAUUACUGCAAAUGGCUGGAUUCAUCUUUGUCAAGUUUGCACUUUCACCAAAGUUUGAAUUAACGUCGACAUUAAUUUGCUGAUGAAGCGCCUGCAGUAGGUCAUAUAGCGUGAGCACCUGUGAUUUCCAAGGAAAUUAUUGUAAUGUGCUAAAUGGGAGAUUUAAAGGUUAGUUGUUCCCCUGC